UUUCAAAAUCCCCAAGAUUCAAAAUACACUCAACUCCCCACAAAUCACUCGAGGACUAACCCCUUUGUCUCUUCAUACUUUUCGUAUUGAUUUCCAAUUGAUUUGUGGUAAUUAUUAUUAUUUCUUUCUCUGUUUGGUUAGGAUUGGUAAAGAGAUAUGGGUUUGCUUCGUAUUCGAGUUCUUUCCAGGGAAAUCGAUUUGGAGCAACUAAUCGAGCCAUAAAGAGAUAACCAGGACCAUCAAUUGAAAGCCUGAACCACUACCAGUUUGGUUCCACUGGGUCGCUUCCAUAUAUUCGGGGGCUGAAUGAUGGUUGUGCUGAUAGUUUUUGGUUCGAAUUGGUGUGGCAGUUGGAACUCAGGGUGAUGGCUGAAUUAGGUUGAGUUUCAAGACAUAAAUGAAAGGGGUUUUGUGUUGUUGAAAUGAUGGUUUACUGUGAAUUGAAUUUGCAGGAAAUUGGGUGAGUUUGGAAGCUGUAGAAGUCUAAAGGCUACAGCAAGAAGAGAAUGGCACACAACAUAUUCGAGUAAAGGCCUGAAUGAGUCUCUUCGCCACUUCAAGCUCCAGUCGAGUCUGUUUGCCAGAGGUUGUGAUCAGGUUCAGCUGAGAAGACAAGGAGACGAGAAAAGUGGUCUGUUGGGGUCAAGUUCUUGAGCUGAUUUUCAGCUGUAAAAAAUGUUGCUGCGACUGUUCAAAGUGCUGUUUACAAGGGACCAAGUGCAGUUUGAAAGACAAGCCAGAAGACUGGAUUUUGGUCAAGUUUUUAUGUAAUCAGUCAGGCAAAGGAACUGGUGCUUUUCCAUGGUUCAAUGGUCGCGUUUGGCUGGUGGUACGAACCAGUGGAGUUCUGGUUGCUGUUAGACUAAGAGUUUGAGCUAAUCAGAUGGGGAUUGAUGUGAAGAAAGUAGACUGUGUUCAGGAAACAAGGAAAAAGCCCCUUUUUCGAAUGCGCUCUUCUGAAACCUCAUGCAUACUUAAUUAAAAUUCCCUCUUUGGAUUCGACAUGAUGAUUCUGCCUUUCUAGAAUGUCCUUUGAGGACUUCCAAUACUAGCUUCUUGAGCAUGCUAUAGAUGGAAAAUCCAAGCUAACAUUGAGGUACUCAUAUAAGUAGUUUUUGAAGUUGUUGAGGAGCUAGCUGUUCCCGCGAAUAAAUUCAAGGAAGAGUGUGCUUUUGGUGUAAGAGGGUUUGGACGUGUAUAUAUGGGUUAUCUUGACAGUACUGAUCAGAUCUUGACCAGGACAGCGCAACAAUAAUGAUAUUAAGUUACAACUACAAGGUUGUGCUCGGAAGAGAUAAAGAAUGAAACCUGAUCACAUGCACCGUAGAAAGAGUCAACUUAAUCGCAUACGGGAAACACAAACCCAAAGUGUCCACGAUUCUUGGCGUUGUCCCGAUAUCACAAUAAUAUAAUCGAUAGAGACAGUGCCUUUGAAUCAGAUGAAGAUUACCCAUUUACCACCAGGGCUAUCAGACGGACGACGUUAAACGGGGGGCCAUCAUCCGGUGGUCGUGGUGCUUUGGAGGGAGUUUUUGCAGUGGACGGCUAGGAAAAUAUUACGUUGAGCAGACAUUACCGAUUUCCUAAUUGGUGAAAAAGGCUGUGGAGAAUCAAUCAAGUUCGACUAUGGGAGUAAGGCCUUCGCCGAUAGAUUGCAACUCUUUGAGUUCGAUCCAAGUACGACUGUGGAAGGAAUUUAAUGUACAGAUUGAUACAAGAACUAAUAUAUAUGUUAUCGGUGGAUUGCAAUUCUUGCAGUGGUUGUCCAAAGAAACAGUGGACUUGGAGGAACUAAGAACAAUUGGGCAUGAGAACAAUUUCUGCGUCACCAUUGAGCAUCAUUAGACCAAGGAGAUUAGGUCCCUUCAAGAGUCGCUCGAGAAGUUCAAAAUAGAGAUGGCUAAUUUAUGUGAAGAGGUUGAAGUGUGACGUUAAAUAAACUUUUCUGAGUUCUGAGCUACAAAAUGAGAUCAACAUACGGGAAGCCGAGGCCACAAAGCUAUUUAUAGAUCUUCAUAACCUGCUUUCAUCUAUUCGAAAAUAAGGUACAUGUAAAGGUCGAUUUGCCAUAAAUAUAAAAUGAGAACCUCCAUAUCUUCAUAGCCUGCUCUCAGCUAUUCAAAAAUAAGGUACAUGAGGCAAUUGAUGCAAGUAAGAAUCUAGAGUAGAUCUUCACCUUUUGCUCCAGGCAUCUUUUUCCAGUCAAGCUGCAUUCACGUUUAAAAACAUCUGAUAUAAAUAUUGAAUUUUGAUUUGACACAAACUGAAAUGGAACUUAAACAUUUAGCAUGGGCCUCUCCCAUACUCUUUUUCGUGAGUCUCUUCAUGACUUAUGAAUCUUACUCCUGUCCCUAUUCUCUAGAUCAUAUUUGUAGAUGAAAAUUUAAAGCUCCUCUACUUCCAAUGAGAAAGACUAUUCAGACUUCAUAAAGAUAAUGACACUGUAAUUCCGGUAAAGUUGAGGUUGUUAUUCGCAAGGUUGUCGACUACUGGAGUUACAAAUUAUGUAGUAUCCACAAUUGAGAAUGAAAAAAAGAUAUAACCUUGACAGUAAAAUUGAUUUGAUGCACGGUAUUGUUGUUUUCAGAUAAAUGAUUCUUACUGUGUAAAGUACUAUCAUCAAACUUUUUUAUGGAAGAUUAUACAAGUUCAUAUUUUGAUAAGCCAACUUUUUCCACCGAAUGAUGAGUUCUUCAGAGACCACAACUACGGUAUUAAAGAAACCUCUUAAUGUCUUCAUACCUGAAAAGGUAAAAUAUACAUUAUUUUAUUUAUAACUUGGCAGUCUGUAAGGUGACAUUUCAUUGCAAUUAUUAUGUUGUCGUUGGAUUAAGUAUUGUGAGUUAGAGGUUUCAUUAAGGUUAGGUUCUUACUAAUUAUGUUGACUUAUAGGCUGUACAGAUACUUAUAUAUGGGGAAAUAGUGGGUGGUGGUGGGUAUGUAUUAAUUUGGAGGUUUGGUCGUGGGGGUGGCAGUGGUUGCUGCUGACGGUGGAUUUGUUGUAGUCUUCAAAUUUGGUUGAUAUCGAUUUACAUAAUUCUUGGUUUUGUUGUCUCUUAUGUUUGCGAAUUCUUAUAUUGGUACUCAUGUUAUUAUAGAAUGGUAUAUGGGCCUAAGUUAUUGGAACCAGAUUCAAUAGUGAUUCCACAACAAAAACUCACAUUCUCGUAAUACAAUGAACUUAGCAAUCAGAUUGACAAUAGUCACAAUAUUAAUCUUACAUGUAUGUAAAAUAUUCAGUAUAUUUUAUAUGUACUGAAGUUUUUGGAUCAAGUGCUAAAGUAUUAUUAAAUGCCAUUAUGUUUUACAAAUGCUUGCCAAAUGUGCAAGUUACAAAAAGGCCUAACUUGAAGGAGUGUCAAAUUUUAGAACUGACAAUUGUGGGCUUGAUCUAUACAGUGAUUCUAAGUGAUAGAUGUUGGCGACAACUAUUAAAUAUGCAAAAAUUGGGAUACAACUGGGUGGAUUGAUAUUACAAUUUGAGUAUUGAAAUUGUUCUGAUGAUGCCAUCUUUUUAUUUUGUAUUUCUAUUGUGUUCGUUUAUUUUCGUGGUCUUGCAAGUAAGAGAAGAUACAGACUGAUCUACUACAUAUCUAAACUUGAGCUUCCAGUAUCAGACGAAGUUGAGUAAGUUGCAUUAACUUUUAAUAACUAUUUUCUUAAGUUCAAGGAGAAUAAAAACGUUUUCGGUGUAGCAUUUACUUGGUAGGCUCAAAGUCUCCUUUUGGUUAAACCUUCUGUUUGAUAAUUUCGGCAUUUACUUCAUUCUUUGCGUGUACGUAUACAAUUUAUAUUGGUUGUUUAGAUCUAAAUUUUACAGAGACUGCCAUUGAGACAUGUCCUUUAAGAAAUAUUGGCACUGUAUGCUCUUAAACAUGAAUUUUACAAGGAUGCUUUAAAUCCUACGAAACUUGAACCGAUGGUAAUUCACUGGCUACAAUAGCAUAAGUAAUAUCAAUGAGCUAAGAUGCAGUACUAAUAUUUUGUUUUGGUUGUCGCAGCAAGAGGAUGAGGACUCUAAACCUAUGUUGUGAAAGGUUCCCUAGGCGCACGAGUCGUGCAAUGAGCGCCUAGACCAACAAACACCUAAGGCGCCAAAGUUACCAGUGUUGUCUUUGCAUUUGAAGAAGAGAUCAGCUGCCUGCAGAGGACAAAAAAACAACUAGCAACCCCGAAACCAUCCAUUGCCAGUGGGACAUCAAGAUAAAAGAUACAGUUUGGAAGAAUUGCCACCUGGAUUCAUGGUAAUAUCUUGGUGCACAAGAGUGAAGGAUCAAAGACACCCUUUGUAUGUUAUAAUUAACUGACCCAUCUCAAUGGAUGAAUCAAACCCUUAGGGAACUUUGCUCGAGCCAUAGGUUUAUGAAUGACUAAAGAGAGGGCAGUGAAUAUAUGUAUUGAGUUUCGUGAUUAUACUUCAAAACUACUCCUAUAGCUGAUCAGUACAAGUUAACUACUAGUAGUUGAAUAGCAUCGGGAAGCAGUGGAGCUGCUAACGAAAUGUUUAAGAUUGAUACUAGGUUGGGGAAAACGCAACAUGUGAAUGCUACUUUUGGUUUUAUAUUCGAUGCUGCUGCAAGAUUUUUCACUCAAAUUGCAGUUGAUCGACAUGGAUGCUGUGUCUUGCAAAAGUGUAUCACUUACGUUACAGAAAUUACGUGAUCCAAUUCAUUUUGGAACUUAAGCUGCCAUUUGCAAGUGCUAUAUUGCAUUCUCAAUUUGAGAGGAACUAUGCACACCUUUCGCUGCAGAAAUUUAGCAGCAAUGUUGUUCAAAAAUGUCUCCAAAAUUUCACUGAAGAGUACCGCACAAAGAUUAUCCUUGAGUUACUGUCAUCUCCUUCCCAAUUUGAACAACUUCUGCAAGACCCUUAUGCUAAUUACGUCAUUCAGACUUCUCUAGAUGUUGUUAAGAUUUUUAUUGUGAUUAGUGUGUUACUAAGGGAGAGGUAUAGUAGAAGAACUAGAAGCUGAUGGCAUAGAUACUUCACAUCUUGUGAUAAAACCAUUCGAGGUUUUCUUGCUGGAGAAACUAUGCUAGCAGCUGGAAGGCUUGUUGCAGAAACUACAUAAUGAUGUCAUUCCCAUGUAUUUCGCCAGCAGUUUUCUCACCCUUGCAGAAAUGUCUUAAACAUGAGAGCUUUAGAACCUCUACCAUGCAUAGUUGCAACGAGAGGAAUACGUCAUUCAGAGCUUGUGCCGAUAAUUCAUUAAAUGCUUUAUCCAC